UAGCCGCGGCGGGCGAUCGCAGGCGUUGGCGGUGCGGGGCGGGGCGGCGCACGCCUGGCUCGGCCCUACGGGGGGCGGGGCAGGGCAGGCCUGGCUCUGCCCUGCGGGGGGCGGGGCGUGGGUCGUCGCCCACUGCUCGCCCCGUUCUCGAGGUGGCUUGCACACGACACUCUCGCCGAGGGCAUGGUGCCGUGUGCACGGUGGUAUUUCGAGCGUUGGCGGGCGGCGGCGUCACCCAAGAAAAUGUGGAGCGGCGCUCACUUGGUCCUCAAUCGUAAUAAGGCGAGGAGUCGAGAGGCAGUGUCCAUCCGAGGACGAGAGAGCAGCUCCCGGCCCGUGUAGCCCGUGUGAAGGACAGUCGCCACAGCCAUGCCAUUCAAGGCUCCUCCCACUCCCAAGUGCCCAAAAUGCGGCAAGUCCGUGUACCACGCCGAGGCCCGAGUGGUGGGCGAUAUCUCCUUCCACAAGGAAUGCUACAAGUGCAGCAUGUGCAAUAAGAUGCUGGACUCCACCAAUUGCAACCUGCACGAGAAUGUGCUCUACUGCAAGACCUGCCACGGCCGCAAGUUUGGCCCCAAGGGCUACGGCUUCGGCGGUGGCGCUGCCGGGCUCAGCAUGGACACCGGCUCUCAAUUCGAACAAUACGGGCGGGACGACUAUGUUAAGCCUUACAAGCCCCCACAAGCCAAACCCGGGGAAGGCUGUCCUCGCUGCGGGGGAAAGGUGUUCGCCGCUGAGGAGAUGCUGGCCAAGGGCAAGAUCUACCAUCGCUCCUGCUUCAACUGCAAGAGCUGCCGCAAGCCCCUGGACUCCGUGGUGCACUGCGACGGCCCCGACAAGGAGGUGUACUGCAAAGUCUGCUACGGCAAGGCAUUCGGUCCCAAGGGUUACGGGUUCGGUUCAGGCGCCGGCACCCUCACCUGCGGUUAUGAAGACUCUGCGCCCCUGGUCAGGCCUCACGGCAACCCCGAUGCCGUGCUGCCCGUGCUGGAGGGGGAGACGCCCUGCCCUCGCUGCGGCGGCCGCGUCUUCAGCGCCGAGAUGAUGAUGGCCAAGGACAGGCCUUUCCACAAGAAGUGCUUCAAGUGCAGGGUGUGCAAGAGGCCCCUCGACUCCAUGACCCACUGCGACGGCGCUGACGGCGAGGUGUACUGCAAGCUGUGCUACGCCAAGAAGUACGGACCCAAGGGCUACGGCUUCGCUGCGGGCGGCGGCGGCGUCCUCACGGCCGAGAACAUUCCGGGCGGCGAGACCAUGUCUGGCGUCAACCCGGGCUCUGCCGUGCUGGACGUGAGCAAGAUCAGGGCUGAGGAGGGCCAGGGCUGCCCUCGCUGCGGAGGCAAGGUGUUCAUGGCUGAGGAGAUCAACGCCAAGGGCAGGUCCUUCCACAAGCGAUGCUACAACUGCUGCCACUGCCACCGCCCCCUGGACUCCAUGGUGGGCUGCGAUUCCCCCGACGGCGAGGUGUACUGCAAGCUGUGCUACGCCAAGAAGUACGGACCCAAGGGCUACGGCUUCGCCGCUGGCGGUGGCGGCGUGCUGACUGCCGAGAACAUCGUGGGCGGCGCGCAGGUGGUGAGCCAGGGCGACAGGGCCCGGCUGGAUGUGAAGAAGAUCAAGGCCGCGGAGGGCACCGGGUGUCCUCGCUGCGGCGGCAAGGUGUUCAUGGCUGAGGAGAUGCACGCCCGUGGCCGCAGCUGGCACAAGAGCUGCUACAACUGCUGCCACUGCCACAGGCCCCUCGACUCUAUGGUGGGCUGUGACGCCCCCGACGACGAGAUCUACUGCAAGCUGUGCUACGCCAAGAAGUACGGACCCAAGGGCUACGGCUUCGCUGCUGGAAGCGGCGGCGUGCUCACCGCUGAGAACAUCCCCGGCGGCGAGGCGCUCAAGGGCAUCAACCCAUCCUCUGGUGCCAUCGACACCACGUCCAUCCCCGCCGCCCCUGGCCAGGGCUGCCCUCGUUGCGGCGGCAAGGUCUUCUCCGCCGAAGAGAUGCUUUCCAGGAACAAGAGGUGGCACAAGCGGUGCUACAGCUGCCGCGAGUGUUUCCGUCCCCUCGACUCCAUGGUGCUGUGUGACGGCCCUGACGGCGACAUUUACUGCAAACUGUGCUAUGCCAAGAAGUACGGACCCAAGGGCUACGGCUUCGCCUCUGGCGCUGGUGGCGUGCUGACCGCCGAGAACAUCGCGUGUGACGAGGGGAUGGAGUCGAACGUGAAGAACGCGGCCUUCACAGUGCUGGACGUGACCAAGAUCCGCGCCAAGGAGGGCCAGCCACGCUGCCCCCGCUGCUCCGGCGCCGUGUUCCAGGCUGAGUCCAUGCCCUGCAGAGGCCGCGAGUGGCACAAGGCCUGCUACAACUGCUGCGAGUGCCACCGCCCCCUGGACUCCAUGACCUCCUGCGACGCUCCUGACGGCGAGAUCUACUGCAAGCUGUGCUACGCCAAGAGGCACGGACCCAAGGGCUACGGCUACGGCCACUGCCCCGCCCUCGUCUCCAUCGGCACUGAAGACGGCAGCCCCAUGCCCACGGACAUCAGGCAGUUCGGCUUCAACCCCAGGGACCCCAACGCCGCGGGAGCCCCCAAGCCCGCACAGCCCAACCCAACGCGCCGUGGAGGGCAGGUGGCGGCAUCCCAGCGCCCAUGGCCGGCGGCAAGCCCAACCAGGUAGAGCCUCUCAUUAAUCUGCCGCAGCCUGUGCCCAUCGGCUCGGAAAUUCCCACGCCCAGAGGCUUUGAUUCGUCUGCAGGCCACUGGGGGCUGGGCCAAGUGCAGGCUGGGACCGUGAGCCAGCAGGUGACAGGUCACGCCACCGCCGAGCUCAGCAGCAGGCAGGUGGUGGCUCAGCAGACUCAGCAGGUGAGUGGUGAGGUGCAGCACGUGGCGGUGGCAGCCAGCAGCACCUCCCAGCACACCGAGCAGCACUUCAGCAGCAGUAGCAGCAGCAGCGUGCAGCAGAUUCAGAGCAUGGAGAUGACUCAAGUGCAGCAGCAGCAGGUGACUCAAGUUAUGCACAGCAGCAGCAGCAGCAGCAGGAGCGAGGUGGUGGUGGUGGAGGGGCAGGAGCACAGGGAGUAAAGUACGAACUAGCCCAAGCAGCCACCACAGGAAGACCCCGCCCCGCCCCGCCCCCCCCGCCCCUGACAUGUCCUCUCUGAUCCCUGCGGACAUGAAAGCCUUGCAGGAUGAUCUGUCCGCCAGGGAGCUGGCCAGCAUGUCCCAGGAACAGCUGGCCAGCAUGUCCAAAGAACAGCUGGCUAGGAUGUCCAAGGCACAGCUGGCCAGCAUGUCCCAGGCACAGCUGGCCACUAUGUCCCAAGCACAGCUGGCCAGCAUGUCCCAGGAACAGCUUGUGCGUGUGUCCCACCAACAAAUGGCCAGCAUGUCCCACGAGCAGGUGGCCGAAGUGUCCCAUGAGCAGCCGGCCAUGACUCCCGCGUCCCUUCAGGAGAUGGGAGCCGUGUCCAUGCUGGCGCACAUGGUGGCCUCGCAGCCCGCCAUGUCCAGCCAGCAGCGGCAGCAGCAGCAGCAGCAGCAGCAAAGCAGUGUGUCCCUCACCACGCAGCAUGUUCGCGUGUCCUCAGAGUUCUCUACCUCUAUGUCCUCUCACAUGGUAACCCAGUCCUCUCCCUUGCCCCCCACUGCCCCCCUGCCUGAGUCGCUGGCCCCCCCUGCUGUUGGUGGCGACGGUGGCGCGGCGCCCCCUCAAUCUCAAACUGAGGGCCAACUUCCCCCGCAGAGGACGAAGAAGAAGAGGAAGAAGAGGAGGAGGAGGAGGAGGAGGAAGAGGAGGAGGAAGAGGAGGAGGAAGAUGAAGAGGAGGAGGAGGAGGAGGAAGAAGAGGAGUAAGGCCAGCAGCAGAUCAGAGCGUCGGGCAGGCGGGCUGGUGCCGCAGAGGUGGCUGGCGGCGCUCCAGGGUGACGCCAGCUGCCUGCUGCGAGCCUCAGCCUACCUGUCGCAGCGGCCCCGCCGCCGACCAGCCCUAGCAUUGGUUGUUAGCGUCCCGAGGUGCAGCCGGUCAUCCCCGCCUUGUUACGACCCGACCACCACCACACGGGAGCUCCGACUCGUUAUCAUAGCAAGUGAGUCUCACGCCUGUGUCCCUUGACAAGACCGUGCCGGAGACAGGAACACGUCGAACGAACGAACGACGCCGCGCCAGGGACCCCUAGUGGCCCACGCCGGGCCUCAACGUGUGCUGGUUCACUGCUGACCUGCGGCCCGCGAGGCCUGGGGCCUUCGGCCACGCCUGCGCCGCGCCUUUCAUCACACCUCGCUCAUCAACCGCCACGCCCGUGGUCGGCGCCGCCCGCGGCUCAGCGAGCGCCGCCGCCAUCACCGCGAGGAGGACAAACACGAUUAUAGCACAUGACGGCGGAGACGCUGACGCGGCCUUCACCGGCGACCCGACCACGGACGUCCGCUUGUAGAUGAUGUAGUCCGUGUACGUGUUGUGCUCGUGAAUGUAGAGUGUGUGUGUGUGUGUGUGUGUGUGUGUGUGUGUUCGCGCGUCCAGCGAGGUGACAUGGGGCGCGGCCCAGCUAACGAAAAUGGCGGGCAAUGUGAUCUUGGGUGUGGAUGAUGCUCGCGAUCGGAAACGUUUAGGUAUUUUGUUUACUGCCAAGUUUUUAUUACCUCGACACAUGCAGGUGAGUGAGUCAUAGUUUGAACCCCGCCGCCGGCUCGGAGCCUCACGGCCGCGCCGACGACACGUGUGAGAAAGGAGGACAAAAAAAAUGGUAGGUUCCUUGUAGCAGCAUUCGCCUGAUUUGUUCCUUACUGAGUGAUGAAUGAGUUGCGUGCAAUCCAUACGUGUGCGUGCCGCCCCGCGCAGGGAGCGGCGUAGACUAUUAUUAACAAGCAGGUCCAAACCAUUCUGUUUAUACGUGGCCCUUGAGUAGCGUUAAGGCGAAGGCUCUCCUGCUCCCAUCGACCAAGGGGACAAGCGGUUCGGGAGCAACAGAGCCUUCAGCUCGCCCCCGGGCGGCCUCCUCGUGCGCCUCGCCGCUCCACAGGCAAGGCGUGCGGGGAUGCGCCCCGCCCCUCACCCACGGCCCACCUCCUCCCCCGCAAGGCACGGCGCCGCCUACCCUGAAGGACCACCGCUGCCCUCCCUACCCCUCCCCCUGCCCCUGACAACCACUGGCAGGAGUCCGGGGCGAGGCUGGGACGGUGCAUCCCUCAGGCUGGCGUGGGCCAAGUGGGGAGGAGCGGCGGGGAGGGCAGGGAAGGAUGAGGGGUAAGUCAGUGGUAACAAGCCGUCUUCCCCUCCCCUCCCUGUCUUCCCCACCUGCCGGGGCCGGUGGGGAUGUCGGCGGCCCCGGGGCGCACCGUGGUUAUAAUCAUUCUUAUAUAUAGUGUUGUGGAGGUCAACUGGCUGCUACUUCGCUGUGAGAAUCCCGAGUAUUGUUAUGUAUUACGCGAGUGAGCCCAGCAGCCGACCACCCUAGUACUGCCACAGGCUUGGUAUCAUUAUAUCUCACUAUGUGCAUUUGUUCUCAUUAAAGAUUCAAUGUUCUGAC